CAGUCGCCGCGGUAAUACGUAGGUGGCAAGCGUUGUCCGGAAUUAUUGGGCGUAAAGGGCUCGCAGGCGGUUCCUUAAGUCUGAUGUGAAAGCCCCCGGCUCAACCGGGGAGGGUUAUUGGAAACUGGGAAACUUGAGUGCAGAAGAGGAGAGUGGAAUUCCACGUGUAGCGGUGAAAUGCGUAGAGAUGUGGAGGAGCACCAGUGGCGAAGGCGACUCUCUGGUCUGUAACUGACGCUGAGGAGCGAAAGCGUGGGGAGCGAACAGGAUUAGAUACCCGCGUAGUCCCUGUCUCUUAUAC
rnacentral:rRNA from 1 species